rnacentral:rRNA from 1 species
GACGAACGCUGGCGGCGUGCCUAAUACAUGCAAGUCGAGCGAAUCGAUGGGAGCUUGCUCCCUGGGAUUAGCGGCGGACGGGUGAGUAACACGUGGGUAACCUGCCUGUAAGACUGGGAUAACUUCGGGAAACCGGAGCUAAUACCGGAUAAUUUCUUUUCUCGCAUGAGGAGAGAUGGAAAGACGGUUUCGGCUGUCACUGCAGGAUGGGCCCGCGGCGCAUUAGCUAGUUGGUGAGGUAACGGCUUACCAAGGCGACGAUGCGUAGCCGACCUGAGAGGGUGAUCGGCCACACUGGGACUGAGACACGGCCCAGACUCCUACGGGAGGCAGCAGUAGGGAAUCUUCCACAAUGGACGAAAGUCUGAUGGAGCAACGCCGCGUGAGCGAAGAAGGUUUUCGGAUCGUAAAGCUCUGUUGUGAGGGAAGAACAAGUAUAGGAGUAACUGCCUGUACCUUGACGGUACCUCAUUAGAAAGCCACGGCUAACUACGUGCCAGCCGCCGCCGUAAGAC